UACGUAGGGUGCAAGCGUUAUUCGGAUUUAUUGGGCGUAAAGGGUGCGUAGACGGUAUAUUAAGUCAACUGUUAAAUUCUUCGGCCUAACCGGAGAUCAGCGGUAGAAACUGAUAUGCUAGAGGGUGGAAGAGAGAAGUGGAAUUCUCGGAGUAGCGGUAAAAUGCGUAGAUCUCGAGAGGAACACCGAUGGCGAAGGCAGCUUCUUGGUCCACACCUGACGUUGAGGCACGAAAGCGUGGGGAGCAAACAGG
rnacentral:rRNA from 1 species